UGCGAGAAUCAAUCGCUAGAAGUAGAGGAAAGUCCGUGCUGUCACCAGCUGUGAUGCUGGUAGUGUUCGUGCUAAGCCCAAUAAGCUUAGGCAUUGCGACGACGGUGAAAGACCUAAGUUCUUAGAAUAUGGUUAGUAGCCCUAAAGUGCCACAGAGACAAAUGCUUUUGGAAACGAAAGAGUGAAAAGUUGGUAAACUCCGCGAGGCAGAAACCCAAAUUUUGGUAGGGGAGUCUGAUGCCUGGAAUCAAACAGGAAUCAGGUAGUGCAAACUAAGAGAAAUGAUUGAUUGAAAAACAGAACACGGCUUAUC
rnacentral:RNase_P_RNA from 1 species